UUUAAGGAUCUGAAUAUAACAAAAGACAGAGGAAGGAAAACUUUGCACUUUUCUCCUGCGUAAUUGCUUGAACUGAGUUAUCUCAUCUAAGAUUUACAUCAUUUGUUCCUUUGUUUCUCAGGCCUUUGAGCUUAUACUGAAUUAUACCACCAGCUUUCCUAGGUCUUGAAGCUUACAGACAGCAGAUCUUGGGACUUCUCAGGCACCAUAAUCAAUCAUAGAUAAAUGAUCCAAUGAUUCGGAACUUGAAAAGUGGUAGCUUUAUGAAUUCUCCUUAAGAAGAAACCUGUGCCCCGAUCUUGCCUACUCACCCAAAGGCACUGUGAGAUAGCAUCAAAGGAACAGCUAGUAAGAGACACAGAGCCAGAAAUCAGGGAAGUAAAAUACACUUGACAUCUACAUUCGGAAAGAAAUUUUAGGAGGCAGAAGCAAAUGGAUCAGAAGCUGCUUAUAUUUUUGCAAGAUUACCAAAGAAACCAUUGGUGGAGAAAGUUCUGUGACCAACUUGUCUGAGUCUAGUAAGACUGAACGCUCACACACAAGUUUCAUGAAGUGGGUUUGAUACUUACAG
rnacentral:lncRNA from 1 species